UGUUAUGGCGGCUGUGCGUGGGAGACCUUCGGGUCUGCCGGUUCCUUUGCUCUUCCGGUUUACCACCCUGCGUACAGCUGCCACCCAU
rnacentral:antisense_RNA from 1 species